ACGGGGGGUGCGAGCGUUGUCCGGAUUUAUUGGGUUUAAAGGGUGCGUAGGCGGCCUGUUAAGUCGGCGGUGAAAGUCUGUGGCUCAACCAUGGAACUGCCGUUGAUACUGGCAGGCUGGAGUACGGUAGAGGAAGGUGGAAUUCCCGGUGUAGCAGUGAAAUGCGUAGAGAUCGGGAGGAACACCAGUGGCGAAGGCGGCCUUCUGGACCAGUACUGACGCUCAUGCACGAAAGCGUGGGGAGCAAACAGGA
rnacentral:rRNA from 1 species